GGCUCUGUGGCGCAAUGGAUAGCGCGUUGGACUUCUAAUUCAAAGGUUGUGGGUUCGAGUCCCACCAGAGUUG